ensembl:lncRNA
CUUGGAAAGCACAGGCAAUAAACAGGGAAGAACAGACGUGGUGAUUUUGCAUACUGCACAGCCUCUGUCUCCACGUAGGUGGAUGCCACAGCUCAGAAAAGCGACAGCAGGGGGAGGUGACAGAGGUCUGCAGAGACACAAAUAGUGGCAAGGCGUUUGAAGUGUUCAAGACAACUGCAUCCUGGGCUGCAUCAACAGAGGGGUGGCAGCAGGGCAACGGAGGGGACUGUCCCCCUCUGCUCUGUCCUUGUGAGGCCCCAUCUGGAGUACUGCGUCCAGGCCUGGGGUCCCCAGCACAGGAAGGACAAGGAGCUGUUGGAGUGGGUCCAGAGGAGGCCACGAAGAUGCUCAGACCGCUGGAGUACCUCCCCUGUGAAGAAAGGUUAAGGGAGUAGGACUUGUUUAGCUUAGAUAAGAGAAUGCUCUGGGGAGACCUCAUUACAGCCCUCCAGAACUUGAAGGGGAGCUCAUAAGCAGGAGGGAAAGCAACUUUUUACACAGGCUAAUAGUGACAGGACAGGGGGAAUGGCUUUAAACUAAAAGAGGGAAAAUUUAGGAUAGAUGUUAGGAAAAAAUUCUUUACUCAGAGGGUGUUAAGGCCCUGACACAGGCUGCCCAGAGAAACUGUGGGUGCCCUAUACCUGGAGGUGUUCAGGACCAGUCUGGAUGGGGCUCUGGGCAGCCUGAACUAGUGGCUGGCAACCCUGCCCAGAGCAGGGCUGUUGGAACUAGAUGGUCUUCAAAGUCCCUUCCAAAUUAAGCCAUUCUAUGAUUCUAUCGCACAAGUAGAACCACUGCACUUAAAGGAUCCACUAAAAAUUACCACAGAGCUGAUGACAGACUUCGGGUGGAUAUGCCAGGGUUAUGGCAGGGGAAGGAUCACACUACCUAGAGUUUCUCUCUCAGGCUUCCCUCAGACACUGCAAACUGGGUGAAGAUGGGCCUUUGGCAUUAGCCAGCACAAAUCUCACUACCAGGGCAUACAACGAUUGCUUAUACUGCAGAACAAUCUGUCUUCUGCCCAGAACUAUACCCAGGCACAUAGCUUUUAGAAACUGCCUUUUUGCUUUCUUGCAACUUUCCAUUUCAGAUUUUCACACUGUUGCUUUCUUUCAGCUUUUUUUACCAUUAUAUAUACACCUAGAUUUUGAAUGACAGUGAAAUAUGCGGCAAUGACAGCCUUACAGCCUGCUGUCAACUGUCUGUCCACAAAUACUUGCACCCUGUCACUGUUGCCUGUGUGUCCUGAGCCUUAACUAAGGAGGCCUCUUUCAGAGCUCAUUCCUCAUCGUGCGUUCAGUCCUCUGCUGAGACAGCCAACAGCGGUGGCAAUAAUGGAAAUCACUCACUGUGGCGUAAUAUCCCAUCCCCAGGGCAUUCAUGUCCCACUGCUGCAAACCCACCAGCUUGGGGGAAUCACCGUGGAGCAGAACCAGGCUUGUCUGCCUGUAUACAACAUGUCUCACGCUUUCAUUAUGACGUCCCUGAAGCUGAACUACAAGAUGCCUACCAUAAUCAGCAGCCACAAGAAUUAUUAGCACCAUUCUUUUUAUUUUUAAUGCUGUUUGAAAGACCUUAAUCAAAUCUGAUGAUGGGCAAGGUAGUCACUGAUGGAAUUACGCAAGAGGAAGGAGUGCAUCACCUGUGCUGUGGCUGUGCCUUGCAUCAGUGCUCCUAUAAGUCUCCUAUCAGAGUAACUUGAGCAACCUCUCAGUGGUCAUCUUGGCACUAGCAGAUCAUGUAGGGCAAGCUACAGCCAUAAUAUUUUGAGCUGUGCCAUUCCUUUUUUCAAGCUCACUCACCUGCUAACUGACACCAUGGUGGAUGGCGUUAAACUUCCCCCAUGGGUCCAAAAAGAAUGCUAUUUCCUUUGUUUUUAUUGGAUUUCUGUGCCAAGAAAUUCCUGAAGAUGGAAUUAAGACUCUGGCAUAUACCUGUUUCUUCUUGCUCAGGCCUUGCUUUGCUGUUGCUAGGGCAUCAUCCCAGUCCUGGUUCACUGCAGGCAUAGGUGGAAGUUGCUGGCUUCUGUCAGCUUAAUAGCAGUGCACAUAAGUUCUCUGUCAAGCUGCAUCUUGCCCAUCCGCUCAGCCUUGUUUAAACACAGGGAGGGAGGCAGGGGAUUGUUUCUUGCCUUCUGAGAAAUGUUUCAUGAACCUGGAAUUUUUUUGAGGUCUUUUUCUGAGGUUGGCUUCUCGGUAAGUCUUCUUUCCUGAAAUCCCAGUGAAGCACACAUAACGUUCCAAGAAAUCGCACCUCAGGCUUUGGGGUAGAAGCGUGGGAUAAGUGCAGGUUUGAUUAACAACAAGUAAGUACUUUGCAUGGUUCCCCUUACAAAAAAAAAAAAAAAAGAUAGAAAUAGCUUCCUGUGGGACAUACAUACCCACCAAAAAGCCCCAGCUUCCAACAAACAAAACAAAACAAAAGAGAAAAGACUUCUGAGUUUCUUUCUGAUCUGAACAUGGCCCUCAGACAAGGCCGGUGAUUGAAGUACACCCAGGGUGUCUCACAGACCAAUGCAAAUCACUGCCCCAAGAUGCCUCCCAGCUACUCCUCUGUUCUGAGGACACACCCCCAAGCCUGCUGUGCUCUGCAGGUGGGUCCACUUGCUCCCUGCCAUUAGCAUGAAAACAUGCCACCAGUCAUACCCAUUCUCCAAGGCACAGUCAAGCUGUCAGCCCCAGUGACAGCUCUGCUUCACGACGGCUCUUGAAGUGAGCAGCUCAUGAGGCACCUGGGAGCAGUCAAACUCUUUUACAAGACUUUAACUCCACUUUCUGGGGUCUGUAUUUCACACGUCCCCAUAUCUAUCUCUGUCUUGCUGCAAACAAACAAACAACCAGCACCUUUACUGGUUAUUUAGCCAUAAAUAACAGCUGAAGUGCAAAGCCCUCUGCCUCUAGCUCCCAGAUCACGAAACUGGAAGGCAAAAAGAGGGAAACAAACAGCAUUAAUAUGAUUUAUCUUUUGCAUGCUGGCUCCACCCUCUCUCUCAAGGCUGUGCAUUUCAAUAAUGAGAAACAGGGCACUUCCACUUCCCACGCACAAACCCCCUUUUAUUUCCUACACAGUAAGGAGUUAAGACAUGAGAUUUGUUCAAGUGCUUCCCAUCAGAGCUACCUCUGGCUUUGACUUUGAUAAUUCAGCCCAACUGAUCUUUCUCUGGCAGUGCCAGUAGCAUCAGUAACCAGAGCGAUGGAAGGGCUUUACAGCUUGAAUGGCCUUUGGGACAGCUGGUGGAAGUGCCUGAAGCUCUCAGUUCUGCAUCCUCAAGUUCCUAAGCCAUAGUGUAUUCAUGAAUGUCAUUAUCUUUUAUUGUCAGCUUUGAAACAGGAGCAAAAUAAUGAAAGUGAGAUUCUCAAGCAGCUGCAUUACAUCAGUUACUAGAGGAAACUGAAUUGUGUGAUUGGGAAAUGGUGGCAGCUGCCCAAUUUUUCUGUCAUCCCAAUAUCCUGAUGCCAUCAACUCAUAUGUUGUUGUUUAAGUUUUUCAUCUCGGGCUGAGUUUUUCCAUUCCAUGUCUCCUAGGCCAGGUGUGACAGGAGUGAGUGCUGUUGCCUAUCAGCAGAAAAUGAAUGUAGGAGACACGGGAGGAUCGAUAGGUGAUCAGCCAGAAAAAAUAUUAGCCUAGUCUCUGUGCAUUCAAGAAAGCUGCACACUACCCACUUUAACCUCUGUCACCAUGCCCCAAUUUCAGCUAAACUCAUAUUCUGCUAAGCCUUUCUGAAGUUACCUUCAAAGCAUCUGUGGUCACCCAGGUAACAUAACAAUGACUGAAACUUUAAAUGGAGUCAUGCUGAUAGGCCCCCUUAAGAUCCUCAUCAAAAGCUACUGAAAGCAUUGAUUUAGAUUUACCAGCAGGAAAAUUUUGUCAUUAGAAUCACAGAAUCUCCAAGGUUGGAAAAGACCCACAGGAUCAUCCAGUCCAACCAUUCGCCCUUCACCAAUGGUUUUCACUAAACCAUGUCCCUCAACACAACAUUCAAAACAUUCUUUGAACACCUCCAGGGUCGGUGAUUCCACCACCUCUCUGGGCAGCCCAUUCCAGGGCCUGACCACCCUUUCAGAGAAGUAGUAUUUCCUAACGUCCAGCCUGAAUCUUCCCUGGCGCGCUUGAAGCCAUUCCCUCUAGUCCUAUCACUGUCACAUGAGAGAAGAGGCUGACCCCCAGCUCACUGCAACCUCCCUUCAGGUAGUUAUAGAGAGCAAUAAGGUCUCCCCUGGGCCUCCUCUUCUCCAGACUGAACAAUCCCAGCUUCUUCAGCUGCUCCUCAUAAGGCCUGUGCUCC